UACAGAGGUCCCGAGCGUUGUUCGGAUUCACUGGGCGUAAAGGGUGCGUAGGUGGCGAGGUAAGUCGGAUGUGAAAGCUCGGAGCUCAACUCUGAAAUGGCAUUGGAAACUACCUUGCUCGAGGGUUGGAGGGGGGACUGGAAUACUUGGUGUAGCAGUGAAAUGCGUAGAUAUCAAGUGGAACACCAGUGGCGAAGGCGAGUCCCUGGACAACUCCUGACACUGAGGCACGAAAGCUAGGGGAGCAAACAGG
rnacentral:rRNA from 1 species